rnacentral:rRNA from 1 species
UACAGAGGUCCCGAGCGUUGUUCGGAUUCAUUGGGCGUAAAGGGUGCGUAGGCGGCUUCCUAAGUUUGAUGUGAAAUCCUGGGGCUCAACCCUGGAACUGCAUUGAAUACUGGGAGGCUAGAGUACUGGAGAGGAAACUGGAAUUUACGGUGUAGCAGUGAAAUGCGUAGAGAUCGUAAGGAAGACCAGUGGCGAAGGCGGCCUUCUGGACCAGUACUGACGCUCAUGCACGAAAGCGUGGGGAGCAAACAGG